rnacentral:tRNA from 1 species
AGAGUAGUAUUUUAACUAAAAAAUCUAAUUUGCACUUAGAACAUGCCCCCCCGCCUAUUCUA